CCCUGGCAAAGGGGCAUCCUGCUUAGGAUGUGAAGCUCGUGUGUUGCUGUGGUCCCAGCAGUGGGCUCACGGUUCCACAGGUAGGGGGACCGGGCAAGCAGGAGCCAGGUCCUCGCAGAGUGGAAGGCGGGAGCAGGAGAUCGGGUGCCAGAACCACUGAGAGGACCAGAGGGGCUGCGGAGACAGUGACGCCUGGUUUCGUCAUGACCAGUCACCUCUUCCUAGACCCGUGCCAGCACCAUUGUGGCGGGGACUCUUUCCAGCACGCGAACCUUGGGGAGCCCACACAACCAAACUGUUCAAUCGGAGCGUAGUUUGCUUUGGUUCUUCACACUUUCCGUGCGGUAUCAUCCAAACGGCCUUUUCACCACCCACACAGGAGGCGGCUGUGAGCUCCCUGUCUCUAAGAUAUGUUUGAUGGCUUCCAAGCCCUGGGUCCUGGGAGUGGCCUUGGGGUCUCUAUCCCUGCAGGACUAGGGCAGCAGGCCCGUUUCUGUCCAGACAGCCUCAUUCUGCCAAGGCUUUGUGGACAGCUAAGAGUAUUUCCUGCCUGUGAGGAGCUCAGGGGCUGUGUAAGCCCGGAGCUGAUCCUCGCUGUGAGCACUGCUCAGUGCAUUCUUGGAAGUGGAGAACAUGUCUUUGAUCUCUAUAAAGGGAAUAAGUCUCGGCCCCCUACCCUUUCUGUCAGGGAUGUAUGAAAGGACCUUAUGAAGUAUGAAAAGGGCCUCAUCCUGUGGUCUGUCCACAGAUACUUUCCUGCCGCGGAAACUGAUGGCUGAAAUUCCCACAAUCGGGUCACUUGUUAUAUGUGCACCUGUUAAAGUAUAAAUCUAUGAUCUGUGAGAGGCAGCCGUUGGAGCAGGGGUAGAAUCAUCUAGGGAGCUUUUGAAAGAUGCUGAGGUCCAUCGCAGACCAGCCCUUGGUGGUCCUAAUGUGCUCUGGAGGCUGAGGACACCUACCUUAUGUUUUGGGCUCCACAGAACCACUGGGGACGUUUGGUCCUUCCCGGGCGUCUGGAAGAGUCUUCUUCCUGGAAACUCCACCUGCAAGUCAUGGACCAGCACAGCAGCAUCUUCCAGACAUUGUUUGAUCAGCUUAGACCCAGCUGCGACCCCCUGACUCAGACUCUGCGGUGGAUAAGAUCCCCAGCUCGCCAGAAAAGAACCAGAACAGAUCUAUCAGUACUGUCAGGCCUGACCCCGCAGAGACACUGUGGCCAGCCGAGAGCCAGUCAGAAGCUGCAACUAAUCCUGUUUUCCACAGAAGGUGAUGACCAGCUCUCUAGGGAGGUCAAAGCAUUUCCUGGGUGGUCAUAAGGUCCCUUGAUUAGUCUGGAGCACUCGCCAUGGCUAACACGCAGGACAGGGCACUGAGGUGUCUAUUCACUUCGAGAUGAGACUAUCUGCGCUGUAGACUUUUGCAACUGAUGAGUGGAGCAGAAAGCUUGAGACUCCAGAAACUAUGGGGGAGCCUUUUGGGGUUGUCUUAGUCCUUUUUCCAUUGCUGGACACAAUACCCAAUACCUAUGACCUAAAGGAAGAGCACUUUGGUUUGGUCCAUGAUUAUGGUCCGUGGUCAGCCUGUUCCAAGGCCCUGGCAUGGGCGUGGGCCUGGCUGGAGAAGCUUCUCAUGUCUGUUCCUGUUCUGGUAGCUGGGAAGAAGACAGCGAAAGAGGAGCAGAGAAUGGGGCCAUAACCAGGCCAUACCCCCCAGAGAGCCUCCCUCUCUGAUCAGGCCCCGCCUCCGAUCGGCUAGUGUGCUGGAAGCACCCAGGCUCCUCCAGCAGCCUUUCAAAAGCCCCAGCUUUGGGGGUCAGCUAGGUGGAAAUCAUAACCCUGGCUGUCUAGUUACACUAUCUGCUCAUAGUCCAGCUUCUUCAGCCACAGAUUGCAAGAUCCAGCCCUCUCUUUUCCCAACUCCGAGCCACUUUCAGUAUGGAAUAAGCUGGCACUGGCUGGAGGUUUGGUCAGGAGACAAGGUAAGGGGCCGCCAUGUCCUGCUUGAUUGCGUGAAGACAGCAGGCCCUGCAUGCCUUGCACAAGCCUCUCUCCCUUUGCGGAUUCCUGUAUCCUACUGUUCGUCGCCUGCUUCCACUAGCUCUUCCUCCAGACGCUUCUUCUCGGAAAGGCAGGGAGCAGAUCUCACUUCAUCAGAGCUGAGGAACAGAGGGCUUGGUAGACCCUGCCAGGCCCACGGGGGCACCCUUGUGUUGAGAGAGGCCUCCCUCCAGGGGUGUUUCAGGGAGACGGUAUCAGGAAGGACCUGGGAUGGCUUGGAUGAUUUGGGGAGAUGAGGAUUAGCCCCAGAUUGGAUGCUGUCAGAAGGGAGGACGGUUGGGGCAUCUCAGGAGAGCUCUGUAAAGAGGAGACACCAAGACACAGUGGUGACAGCCGUCACAGCUGUAACAACGUAACAGUCACUGAUUUUCACCAAAGGGAGUUUUUUUUUUUAAAUUUUAUUUAAGGAGAAAAGAAAAAAAAGCAGGGAAAGGGUACAAGUUAUACAGAUUUACAGAAAAAAAAUGAACAGUAGGAAAUCACUAGUUAAUGGAUUACAUAUUGUCAUCUUAGAAAUAAUUGUUCAAGUCACAAAAUUAAAGCUUGUAAAGUGGACAUUCCAUCAAUGAUACUGCAAACAGUUCUGUUCAUUGAUCCAAUAAAACUCUGUGAUAUCAUUUUCUAUCUUAUACACUUAAAUAUAUAUGCAGUUAUAUAGUUUGGAGCACUUUCUUUUCCUCUCUUUUGUAUCAUGACUAUUACACAUUUUGGGUUUCAUUGCUCCCACGGUUCUUAUUACUUUUUUGGAAGAGAGUAAAACCAAAUGUGACAUAACAGAACAGAAUUGGUCAAGUCAAAAGGGUGGACAUAAUAGAUAAUGUAAAAAACAUAAUACAAGGUGAUCAUCAGUGGUUACCAUAAUGCCUCCCGCUAUCUCUAAUAGAAUUGCCUAUAUCGUUAGUUAUAAUACAAUUGAACAAAACAGUAAAGAAUAAAACCGACAAAACCAAAACAUUGGAGACAUUGUAGGUCUUCAAAAGUAGAUAAAAGUCAACGAGAAUGGGCGUUAUAAUGAAUCUCAUUAUCUUCACAGCUGAUGCCUAAACUUUCUAACCUAAUACUAUCCAGCAAAACAGUAUAGGGGAACAUCAGUUAAAAACCAGAUGGUGAGAGUAAUACAGGGCUUUAAAUCAAGGUAAUGGAAAGUCAAAGUGGGUUACUAUAAUAUAUCCUGCUAUUUUUUUCCUUUAAUUAAAAGGAUAAAGAUAAAAAAGUAAAUAAUGGAGUGGAGAUUGAGAUAAAAGAGGGCAUAACAACGAAACAGCGCAGAUCAAAACAUAACCAUUUAAGCAGAAUAGUGUUUCACCACCAGAUAAUCCUGACCUAAAAGUAGUUACCAUAUUGUCUCUUUCUUUGAAAUCCUUGAGUACAACUUCGUAUACUGUAGCAUUAAGUAUAUCAAAACAAUGUAAAACCAUUUAAGAGAAUGACAGCAUUACAGAGUAUUUAGAAUCGACUAACAGAAAAUGAACAAUGGUUUCUGUAUAAUCUCCUUGUCUUUAAAAGGUUUUUGCUUAUACUAUCGUACAUAAUAAAAUCCAAUAAGAUACAACCUAUUUAGACCAUUGGAGACAGAAAGACAAAAGCUAGAUGAGACUUCAAAACAAGAUGAGUUUUGAGGUGAUUUCUUCUGCAGGCGAUGUGACAGCCUUGGUUUUGUCUGGGCAUUGAUGAGACUGGAACAUCUCGUUCUGUGUCAUUUCAUGAUGGCUUCAGAGUGAGGCUGGCACAUGCCCAGUGAUGAGGACAGGGUCGUGGCUACUCCCUGUUCUUCACCCUGGCACUCCACUAUACCAGUCUGUGGGUUUCGAGCUGAUCCCAUCUGCCCAGAUCUGGGUGGGGGUGGGGGCCUCGGUUUACCUUCUGCAGCAGGUGGGUGUGUGAAGCAGGGCUUUGUUAAUGAGCUCCCGGGGCGAGAUACUCAUUCUUGAUUCAGUUAACACCAGCUGAUCCUCCUGAGAGUCAGGACCACCUAGGUGCGAGACAGUCCGGCCAGUUCCUAAGAUGCCAAGGUGUUUGUUACACCUGUGGUUGUUGGACAGAGAGACACAGAGGGACAGAGAGAGACAGAGAUGGAGAAGGAGGAAGCAAAGAAGAGGAAGAGAAGGAAAGGGAGGGGAGGAGGUAAGAAAGGAAGGCAAGAUGGAAGGAAAGAAAGAAUAAAGAGGGGAAAGAAGGAGAAAAAAGGAAGGAGGGACGGAAAGGAAAAGAAAUAAAAAAAUCUAGCCCUUCUGCUUCUAAGUAUGUCAGGUAAUGAGUAUCCAACACAUACCUAUUCCAAAUACAAGAUGAAGAGGAGAAGAGAGAAAAGACAGAAGUGAAACAGGGGAGACAGAGGACCGACCACAAAGGAGAGAAGCAGAAAGAGGAGGAGCCGUCAUCCGUGAUGCUGCUGUCUGAGCACCGCGAGCUGUGAGCUGCUCUCCGGCCUCCCAUCACCGCAGCCAGCAGCCCGAACCAAACGAGAGCGCGCUUGGGAGGGAAAGUCUUGGUCUGGAUCUCAGCAUUCCCGCUUUCUUGCUGCGCAAAUGACUUAGGGUGCAUAAUCAAUGGGUGGGGACUUCAGUCGUGAUUACUCCACAGUGUUGUGAAGACUGAGUUAGGGAGCAUUCGCCCUUAGAAAGUCCUGGAUCCUAGGAAAUGUGGCAAGUGUCAUUAUUUUCAUAGCUUUUGGGUAGAAAUGGUGAAAAGUAAGAAUUUAACUGCCUGUGUAUAAACGCUUUGGACUACAAAUUCUCCCUGGGAAAUGAAGUUAGUUUUCAAAUUGAAUGCCGAGGCUCCUGUUCUGAGCUGCAUUGCAAGCCUUCCCCUCAGUCGUGGUCCGGUUGUUUAAUAAACAUCCAUCAGCGGUGCCCGGCACCGAGGCAGACUUUAUUCUUAA